ACGAGAUGACGUCACUCCCGGGGACGCGUUCCGGCCACGUGGGGUCACGACCUGCUGGUGCGGGUUUGUUGUCUUCAGCUCUUCGGCUUUCAGAGAAACCAUCUCAUCUCCUGCUGUUAAGGGUGAUUGGAUAAUGCAGAGGAGCCAGAAGAAUGAUGGACCUGUUGGAUGGUACAUUGCAUUGGUGGUAUCAGAAAUAUCCAAUGAAUUGAAAAGUGGUCUACUGGGAGCUCUGGGGAAGACAAAUUCUAUUGUGCUAAAAGCAAAUUUGCAGGCAGUGCAGUGCAACAGAUGCAGCUGAGGAUCCUAUUGCAGAUGGAGGGGCAUUGUUAAUUGAAUGAAAGUUUGUCUGCUAGUGGCUUUCCUGGCAACUGCAUCUCUACAGAAGAUGUGACUCUGCCACUAUCCAAGGUUGCCACUAUUAUGGACUUUCCACAGCUCCACA